rnacentral:lncRNA from 1 species
GCUUUCUUGCCUCUUCUGCCAUGUGAGGGCACAGCAAGAAGACCAUGCUCUAUAAAUCAGAAAAUGGGUCCCUACAGACCAAACUGGCUGGCACCUUUAUUGUGGACUUUCCAAUCUGCGGAAAUUUUUUAUAGACCAAAGUUAAGGCUGAAUUGAGAAGGCUCAGAAGACCCUGGCUAGAGUUUCAUCAAGUUUAAAAUGAUCGUCAACUCUGUAUACAUCAAAAUUGAGUUCGGAAGCUGAUACUUACAGCAGUGGAGAUUAGCAAUACCUGGACAGAGUUGAGCUUCAAAGGACACUGAGAAAUGGCUAAAGCAGGUAUAAAGAGAGAAGACUGGAACUUUGUCUAUGCUUAUCAUCUAGCUUCAAG